GACGAACGCUGGCGGCGUGCUUAACACAUGCAAGUCGAACGGAAAGGCCCUGCUUUUGUGGGGUGCUCGAGUGGCGAACGGGUGAGUAACACGUGAGUAACCUGCCCUUGACUUUGGGAUAACUUCAGGAAACUGGGGCUAAUACCGGAUAGGAGCUCCUACUGCAUGGUGGGGGUUGGAAAGUUUCGGCGGUUGGGGAUGGACUCGCGGCUUAUCAGCUUGUUGGUGGGGUAGUGGCUUACCAAGGCUUUGACGGGUAGCCGGCCUGAGAGGGUGACCGGCCACAUUGGGACUGAGAUACGGCCCAGACUCCUACGGGAGGCAGCAGUGGGGAAUAUUGCACAAUGGGCGGAAGCCUGAUGCAGCAACGCCGCGUGCGGGAUGACGGCCUUCGGGUUGUAAACCGCUUUCGCCUGUGACGAAGCGUGAGUGACGGUAAUGGGUAAAGAAGCACCGGCUAACUACG
rnacentral:rRNA from 1 species